AUUGAACGCUGGCGGCAUGCCCUACACAUGCAAGUCGAACGGUAACAGGUCUUCGGAUGCUGACGAGUGGCGAACGGGUGAGUAAUACAUCGGAACGUGCCUAGUAGUGGGGGAUAACUACUCGAAAGAGUGGCUAAUACCGCAUGAGAUCUACGGAUGAAAGCAGGGGAUCGCAAGACCUUGUGCUACUAGAGCGGCCGAUGGCAGAUUAGGUAGUUGGUGGGACAAAAGCUUACCAAGCCGACGAUCUGUAGCUGGUCUGAGAGGACGAUCAGCCACACUGGGACUGAGACACGGCCCAGACUCCUACGGGAGGCAGCAGUGGGGAAUUUUGGACAAUGGGCGCAAGCCUGAUCCAGCAAUGCCGCGUGCAGGAUGAAGGCCUUCGGGUUGUAAACUGCUUUUGUACGGAACGAAAAGCCCUGGGUUAGUACCCUGGGGUCAUGACGGUACCGUAAGAAUAAGCACCGGCUAACUACGUGCCAGCAGCCGCCGUAAAAC
rnacentral:rRNA from 1 species